rnacentral:rRNA from 1 species
UCGGGAAUUUUGGGCAAUGGGCGAAAGCCUGACCCAGCAACGCCGCGUGAAGGAUGAAGUAUUUCGGUAUGUAAACUUCGAAAGAAUAGGAAGAAUAAAUGACGGUACUAUUUAUAAGGUCCGGCUAACUACGUGCCAGCAGCCGCGGUAAUACGUAGGGACCAAGCGUUGUUCGGAUUUACUGGGCGUAAAGGGCGCGUAGGCGGCAAUUCAAGUCAUCUGUGAAAUCUCCGGGCUUAACUCGGAACGGUCAGAUGAUACUGCUUUGCUAGAGUGCAGAAGGGGCAAUCGGAAUUCUUGGUGUAGCGGUGAAAUGCGUAGAUAUCAAGAGGAACACCUGAGGCGAAGGCGGUUGCUGGGCUGAUACUGACGCUGAGGCGCGAAAGCUAGGGUAGCAAACGGGAUUAGAUACCCUCGUAGUCCCUGAGCGGGCUGGCAAGGCGCAU